CCACGGCCCUCCAGGAUUUCAGGCAGAGUCUCUCCCCACCCGCCCCGGGGAGUGGUCCCGGUGCUUCCUGCGCUCAAGGCAGGCGCUCACCCUCUGAGCUGCCCCCCCUCACCUGUUAGGCGCCUGGCAGGCCUGGCUUGAGCGGGCGGGGGACAAGCGACAGCCCCCCGCAUUCUCAUCAGCUGGAAGCGGGCUGGGAUCCUAAGGCCGCUUCCCGGAAAGUGAGCUGCGCCGCAAUCACAGCCUGGGGGGAGUUGACGAGGAAGGGACGCUUCUUCCCCCUUCAGAAAUCUGACCUUCUCGCGGGCCAAAGCUUGCCUCCCCGCCGUGUCCCCUCACGAGGAAGGGCAGCUGCGCACAUGCCCAGCACGGACAUCCCGGCAUUGGCGGCGGGCGGCGCCUCGGGGCGAGCGCCUUCUAGCCCCGGCACCAGCCGAGCGGGCAGACAACCGCUGACUCCCGGGGGGCCCGGCUGGCCGGCCUCUGGUGACCCACGUGGCCGGUCUGCCCGGGCUGCUUUGCGGCUGCCGUCCGGAGCGGCCGAGGCGAUGCGGCUGCAAAGAAGGCCUGUGGAUCCCUGGUGCCGCCUGCAACCUCCCUGGCGGUGGAGAAGGGGCUGCGUCUGGCUGGCGUUUGCUGUGCUUUGCCUGGCCAUGGUCUGCUUGCUCUGCCUGCAGUCUGGGCUUGUGCUGCGUUUGGGCCAUCAUGGACCAGGAGGGCCCUCCGCCUCCAUGGCGACCGUCUUCAAGAGCAUCCAGACUCCCUCCGGGGGAAACAGGACUCCACAGCAGCGCCUUGCUGCUGGGCCUGCCAGCCAGGUCAUUGGCCCUGCAUCGCAGACUCCGUCGUGGGGCUCCUUCCUCUUCCACAUUCUGAGCUUCUGGCAUCGUCUUGUGGAGGUGCUUGUUGGGAGUCGGCAACGCCGAAUGGCUUUCCAUUCCAGCCUCCCUGCCCAGCCUCUGCCCUGGCCAGAGUGGCAGAAGAAGCUCUCCUCCCGGGUCCUGGGCUCCCGCCUCCAGCGUGUCUUCCGGAACUACCAAGCCAUGAACAAGUAUCGGGUGCCCCCGGGUGCCGGGCAGCCUCAAGGGAACCCACGCUCAACUGGGAUGGAUCUGUUGUGCCAGCUCAGAAGUCGUGUGGAGGUGACCACCCUCUUGGGUGAUGAGGGUCCCUUUGCAGCCCCUGAGUGGAGGGGAGUGUUGCCCCGGAGGAGCCUGGCUGAGGACCUGGGCCCCUUGGGGAAGUGUGCCGUUGUGAGCUCAGCCGGCUCUAUGCUGGGGUCAGGACUAGGCCAAGAGAUUGACUCACACGACGCCGUCCUUCGUUUCAAUGGAGCCCCAACCACAGGCUACGAGCAUGACGUGGGCACCAAGACCACCAUCCGCCUUGUGAACUCCCAGCUGAUGGCUUCUCCUGAGCAGCAUUUUCUGGAUGGGCAACUCUAUGCACAGGGAACCUUAGUUGCAUGGGAUCCAGCCCCUUUUCCAGGGGACCUACAGGAGUGGUACAAAGCCCCCGAUUACCCCAUCUUCAGGCCGUUCCAGGUAGUGCGCUCUCGCAGACCCUGGCAGCUCUUCCACCUCUUGCACCCACGACUGCAGUGGCAGCUCUGGGAGCUGGUGCAGGAAGGGGCAGGUGAAGAGGUGCAGCGGAACCCUCCUUCCUCAGGGCUGCUCGGGACUGUGCUGAUGAUGUCGCUGUGUGAGCUUGUCCAUGUCUACGAGUUCCUGCCCUCCCAGCGCCAGUCUCUCCAGUGCCACUACUACCAGGCCUUCCUGGACGAUGCCUGCACCCUGGGCGCCUACCACCCGCUGCUUUUUGAGAAGGACCUGGUCCGGCGCAUGAACCGUGGCGCUCUGGCAGAUCUGGCCCAGCUGGGGCGGGUGACGCUGCCAGGCUUCCGGGCCCUGAAUUGCACCCAGGACAAGUAACUCCGUGGGAGGGAUGGGGGGUACCCCUGCCAUGCAGCAGCCUGAAGCCACCUGCUCUAGGUGAGUCAAGCAAAGGGUCCGCUUACUCACACCGAGUGAAGGAAUUGUUGACCCUUGGGCUAUACUACCUCUGGUUGUUUUUCAUCAAGU